rnacentral:rRNA from 1 species
GAUGAACGCUGGCGGCGUGCCUAAUACAUGCAAGUCGAACGAAGGUACUUGUACCUUAGUGGCGAACGGGUGAGUAACACGUAGGUAACCUGCCCUCAAGCCGAGGGAUAACAGUUGGAAACGACUGCUAAUACUCGAUAGGUAAUCACUAGGCAUCUAGAGAUUAUUAAAGAUCCGUUUGGAUUACUUGAGGAGGGACCUGCGCCGCAUUAGUUAGUUGGUAAGGUAAUGGGCUUACCAAGACCAUGAUGCGUAGCCGGACUGAGAGGUUGAACGGCCACACUGGGACUGAGACGCGGCCCAG